rnacentral:rRNA from 1 species
AGAGUUUGAUCCUGGCUCAGGACGAACGCUGGCGGCGUGCUUAACACAUGCAAGUCGAGCGAUGAAGUUCCUUCGGGAACGGAUUAGCGGCGGACGGGUGAGUAACACGUGGGUAACCUGCCUCAUAGAGGGGAAUAGCCUUCCGAAAGGAAGAUUAAUACCGCAUAAGAUUGUAGUAUCGCAUGAUACAGCAAUUAAAGGAGUAAUCCGCUAUGAGAUGGACCCGCGUCGCAUUAGCUAGUUGGUGAGGUAACGGCUCACCAAGGCGACGAUGCGUAGCCGACCUGAGAGGGUGAUCGGCCACAUUGGGACUGAGACACGGCCCAGACUCCUACGGGAGGCAGCAGUGAGGAAUAUUGCACAAUGGGCGCAAGCCUGAUGCAGCGACGCCGCGUGGGUGAAGAAGGUUUUCGGAUCGUAAAACCCUUUUCUGUGUGACGAGAACGGACGGUAGCACAGGAAUAAGUCUCGGCUAACUACGUGCCAGCCGCCGCGGUAAUAC